GUUGAGGUGCGCGUGAAUUGAAUGAAGCGGAGAUUUGUUCCCUCGGGCUACUGAAACUGUGGGACGUUGAAUUGCCAUAUAUCCUUAUCGUCGUUUGAGCAUCCUUUAAUAAUUUUACACUACAGUCCUUGGUUUCUCCGUAGUUAUAUACGAUUGUUUCAUUUUAAGGACUCAGGAGUGUGACAUGAUGUUUGUGACAGUCGUCGGCCUUGUGGUCUUAUAUUUAAGGAGUGAUUUUUCAGAGUUUUAUGUAGGCAGCCUCCAGUAGUAAAUUAAUAAAGAUAAUAAUACAACGUGGUUCAGUUUCAACAUGCUGGAAGUCAAGAGUUUUUCAUAUGAUACGUUUCCUUUCCACAGUAUCAGUUAUGAAGAAGGUAUUAAAACGGAUUUGACUCAGGCUGAUUUGUGUUGCAACUUCAUAGUCACGUUUUGUUUAUCUUAGGAUGAGCAACAUUCACCAAAAGCCUGUGUGUAUUCUUACCAGCUACUACUGUACUUCAAAGAGAGAAGUUUAAGUUGACCAGCUUUUAGAAAAUACUUUGUGUGUUGCUUAUGAGCGUUAUGCAGCUGAAAACUCCACGUAUCUGGCCAACAGAAGAGUACAGGACAGUUUACUCAAGCAAGAUUAAAUGAAACUGCCAUUUCUAAUUAAUUUGCCCAGAAACUGAAGAUAUCAAAUGAUUUUGACAUUGAAGGAAAAAGCAGUACUGCAUGUAGCACAGAGCUUGAGCUUUCUGGGGUUCUCCCCAUAACAGCUUAACAGGCUGACACAGUAUCUCAAGAAGGAUACAGAUGUGCAUACUGCUUCUUUUUGAUGCUGAUAUUUAUUCAUUCAUUUGAAUCUGUUAAUCAGAAUAGGGGCACUGAUCCAUCUGGACCAUUUUCAGAACCUGACUAUGACUAAGACAAUGCUGCAUGCAGCUAAGAAAUCAGACUUUGUGGGGCUUCCCCCAAUAAUCACUUAGCAGGGUCACACUGUACCUUUAGAAAAGUGCGUUUCUAAUGCUUACUUGCAUCUUUGAUGCUGACCUUUAUUUAUAUGAAUUUGUUAAUCAAAAUGAGGCACUGUUCAGUCAAGACCAUUUUCAGACCCUGCCUAUGAGUGCAUAGUCAGAUUUAAUAAACAGCAUAGAAAAAAUAAUGAGAUGCAGAGAAAAUUAUGAAUGACAUGUAAAAACAAAAUAGAAAUAAACAUGGUCAAAUUAAAAUAUUGUAAAAAGACCUAAACUAAGCGCAUAGACAUUUGGGUAAGCAGAAUUAUAAAAAGUAAUGCAGUAUAAGCAAAAUAACUGUAAUAAUCAACUAUACUAAAAGAGAAGUAUUUUAUUUGUGAUUGUUUACUGGGGUUGUGCACUGAUCAAAACUGACCAUUUACAGAUAUAGUGUAGGUGAAGUAGUUCACAAAACAAAAAAAAUAAUAAGAGAGAUUGUAUACAGCCAUUAAUAAAAGUGAAGUAGUGCACAGUUAAAAUAUACAAAAUAAUGUCUUCCACUAUGAGUAAAAAAGCGAAUUCACAGAUGAUCGGAUUCCCCAAACUGCAUUCACAGAAAAUAAAAGUGCCAAAAAACAAGCCUCGUACCUCCCCCAAACUUAUAUAUACCAACACUGUGAUUGCAACAAAUUGAAGAAGGUAGAAAUUCCCCCCAAAAGAGAAUCGCUUCCAGCACAAUUCACCAACGGUGAUUUCCUGUGGAGGAGCUCCACUCAUCGACAGGUUGAACUUCAGGUCACUGAAGCUCAAGCAUUCAAUCUUCAUCCACCAGUAGGUUGCCCAAAAUAAUAAGAAAGGUCAUACAACAGACACUAUUGAAAGUUGCAAACAGUAGUAUGGUACUUAAUACAAAACUUAUGAAAAAUUAAAAAAAAAGAUGUUUUGUUUUACCAAUGGCAUAUGUUGUGGGCAUUGUUCAUUGAUGUUUAAGGAGUGUUCACAAUAGUAGUAAAGUUCCAUAGCUAUAAGAGAAGUAGAUAACGUGAAGAGACCAUGGAAGAGAGAGUAGAGAAGUUGAAAUAUGUUUAAGUGAUGAUGUAUAUCGAUGUACAAAGAACAUUUACCCACAAUAUACUACCGAGCUGAAUUGUUUAAAAUGGAAGAAGACAUAACAUCUAAAACAAGAAGAAAAAAAAUUAUAAAAGUAUACAUUGCAUAAUUAGCUGUCUAGUUACAAUCUAAAUCAGAAAUAAGAAAAAUGGUGAAGUAAGGAGGAUGGGGAGAGGAAAGUAUAAAAGUGGUCUAAUGUAAAAUAAUUACAUGUGUUUUGAAAGAAGAAAUAUAUGUAAUUAAUGAAAAUGGAAAGGUGUGGCUUGAUUAUUUAAAGGGUAGACAUCCCUGAAGCAUUUAUAUUUGGUUGAAUCAUGCAUGUAAUUUUUAAAGGACGUACUUAUGACAAGAUAGGAUUUACUAAUCUUUAGGUGGACAGGAAGGACUUCCAAAAGUGCGGAAGCAGUUAUGAAAAGUCUGUGAUUGCUGCAAAAAAUUGUUAUAAGAGGGAUGGGUUUGGACGGAAGAGAUCUUGGAAAGUACUGAAAAGACCUGAUUGAAGAAUGGAAAGGUAUUUUUAAGUUUGUGCAACAGGGCAACUAGAAGAAAGCCUGCAGUUUGCUGAAUUGGAAGUCGUUUGGCUUUGGCUAAGAUGGAUCACUGUUUGUGUGUAUGUGUUUGUAAUGAGAGGCCAAAAUAGCAAGUCCACAGAUUCUGUUAACAAUUACUUGAAGGAGUGAGGCUUUUCUUUGAAACACCUGCAAGGACAUAUUCAAGUUGAAAAAAGCAGAAUCCAUUUUCCAGUAAAUAAUUUAGAUACAGAAGCCAGAGUAUAAGAAAUUCUCCAUGCCCAUAAUGAGAGUUUAUUAAUUUUAGUCUUAGUAACAUAAAUAUGAUGAUAAAAGUUAAGUUUAGGAUCAGGCCAAAUCCCUAGCAACUAAAAUAUUCUGUAUUUUGCAUCAAAAUAUAUACAGUCAAACUCCAUUUGCCAUUUUUUUGGGGGGUGGCUAACCUUUGAUUGGUGACAACAUUUCUUUCUUUUUCCUGUUGUUAAAUAUGACUUGCAUAUUGUUGAACCACUAUCCCAGUAGGAGAGGAGAAAAGCAAGCUAUUC